rnacentral:rRNA from 1 species
CUGCAGCCCGAGUGGUGAUCGAUUUUAUUGAGCCUAAAGCGUCCGUAGCCGGACUAGUAAACCCUUGGGUAAAUUGGGCAGCUUAACUGUCCAAAUUCCGAGGGGACUGCUAGUCUUGGGACCGGGAGAGGUCAGAGGUACUCAAGGGGUAGGGGCUAAAUCCUGCAAUCCUUUGGGGACCACCAGUGGCGAAGGCGUCUGACUAGAACGGAUCCGACGGUAAGGGACGAAACCCUGGGGCGCAAAACGGAUUAGAUACCCGAGUAGUCC